AUUUUCAUAGUUUAAAAAAAACCUAACUCUUUCAUAGUUAAAUUGAGCAAUCUCCCACUCUGUAAAUU
rnacentral:tRNA from 1 species